AGUGAACGCUGGCGGUAGGCCUAACACAUGCAAGUCGAACGGCAGCACAGUAAGAGCUUGCUCUUACGGGUGGCGAGUGGCGGACGGGUGAGGAAUACAUCGGAAUCUACUUUUUCGUGGGGGAUAACGUAGGGAAACUUACGCUAAUACCGCAUACGACCUACGGGUGGAAGCAGGGGAUCUUCGGACCUUGCGCGAUUGAAUGAGCCGAUGUCGGAUUAGCUAGUUGGCGGGGUAAAGGCCCACCAAGGCGACGAUCCGUAGCUGGUCUGAGAGGAUGAUCAGCCACACUGGAACUGAGACACGGUCCAGACUCCUACGGGAGGCAGCAGUGGGGAAUAUUGGACAAUGGGCGCAAGCCUGAUCCAGCCAUACCGCGUGAGUGAAGAAGGCCUUCGGGUUGUAAAGCUCUUUUGUUGGGAAAGAAAAGCAGCAGGUUAAUAUACCGCUGUUCUGACGGUACCCAAAGAAUAAGCACCGGCUAACUUCGUG
rnacentral:rRNA from 1 species